UACGGGAGGUGCAAGCGUUGUUCGGAAUUAUUGGGCGUAAAGAGCACGUAGGUGGGAGAGUGUGUCAGAUGUGAAAUCCCUGGGCUUAACCUGGGAAUUGCAUUUGAAACUGCUUUUCUUGAAUACUUGAGGGGUUGGAGAAAUUCCAGGUGUAGGAGUGAAAUCCGUAGAGAUCUGGAGGAAUACCGGAGGCGAAGGCGUCCAACUGGCAAUGUAUUGACACUGAGGUGCGAAAGUGCGGGGAGCAAACAGGAUUAGAUACCCUGGUAGUCCGCACCAUAAACGAUGGAUACUAGGUGUUUGGGAAGUUAACCUCCUGAGUACUGAAGCUAACGCAUUAAGUAUCCCGCCUGGGGAGUACGGUCGCAAGGCUA
rnacentral:rRNA from 1 species